UUGUUGCAUGAAAGCAAGCUAGCAUGCCCUUUGACAAGGAUGGAAGUGGUCCUAAUGGCCUGCAAUGCAAAUACAGUUAAAAUACUACUGCGUUUAGUAUACAGUAUGUAAUAAAAUACUUCU